CCGGGGCGUCGCACAGACGAUCAGGCCGGUUAGCAAGAAGAUGGCGUUCCUCGUGGUGCGGCAAUUCACGAGCACCGUCCAGUGCGUCCUCACUGUCAGCGAAGAGUAUGUGAGUACUCAGAUGGUGAAGUUCGCCACGGGGCUGAGCAAGGAGUCGAUUGUCGAUAUCGAAGGGAUCAUUUCCAUCCCCAAGGACCCUAUCAAAGGCACUACACAACAGGUAGAAGUUCAAGUAAGGAAACUUCAUUGCAUCAAUAGAGCAGCGCCAAAUCUGCCUAUUAAUAUUGAGGAUGCAGCCAGAAGUGAGACAGAAUUUGAGAAAGCUGAGCGUACUGGCGAACAAUUUGUCCGUGUUGGCCAAGACACUCGACUGAACUUUAGAUUUCUGGAUUUGAGAACUCCAGCAAAUCAUGCAAUAUUCCGUGUGCAACACCAUGUUGAAGAUGCUUUUAGGCAAUUUUUGAAGCGCGAGGACUUCUUUGGGAUCCAUAGUCCUAAGCUGAUAGCUGGAUCAAGUG
rnacentral:misc_RNA from 1 species